rnacentral:lncRNA from 1 species
GCAGAUUAGAUUUUUCUCUCCCUCCCCCUGCGAGACCUCUGUGUGCUUUGACGUCAUGUGUGCUCCUUUCAGUUGCCAUAGCAGCCCCAUUCCCCAAGCUCUCUGCCUGUCUCCUCUGGUAGGUUCCACAAUGGUACAGCCAGCAUCACGCUGCACAAUGGUUUCCAGGCAGUGAAAGAGCGUGAUUCAGCAAGCCACUCUUCCCCCCCUCCCCUUUUAUUUCAUUAUUAUCAGACAUUUUGCCUCCCCUUUUUCUGUUCUCUUCUACCCUCUUCCCCAGGCUUUUAUUCAGUUCUUUAAAGGAAUACGGUGAUUUACCUUGAAACCAACUGCCCAUCUUUUUUUUUUUUCUUUUCCUUUUUUUCCUUUUUUUUCCCCCCCUCUAUUGUUAUAAAUAGCCCAUUUUUUUUUCUUUGGCACUGUUUGGAAUGUGAUUUUAAAAAUACCACCUAAAGUCGCAGUUUGGGGAAAAGGUUUCUGGACGAGGAGAAUAGCUGGCGAGCAAGGAAUGGGCUAGUAUUAGAAGCCUGUACCAACAGCAGGCCAGACUCAAAUAUCAGCUAUGGCAACCCAUGCAUGAAGUUGAUGCCUUUGAACUAUUUCCUAUAGAUGAGACAUAGCACAUGCUGUGCUGUCUUCCACUGGGACAGAGGUGGAACUUCGACAGACUGCGUGUGUUGAGCAGUGCUCCCCAGAUUUGCAGCUCUCCCCAGGAAGACCUGACAACAAUUGCAAGUGUGUCACCUGGACAAAAUGUAAAACUUCGCUGUCAGACUAUCCUAUCCCUGGUAUUUAUGAGCCGCCAUUUCUUGUAUUAUUUUGGUGAACCUACUCUGGAUGUGAAGAUUGCCUUUUGUCAGGUGUGUGUUCCUUACAGGUAAAACAAGGGAUUUGGGAAACAAGUGGAUGUGUCAU